UGAGUCACCGGACUCAAACAGUUUGGAGAACCGCAGUCUCCAACCGGCCGGGACGCUUGACGAUACACCCGACACACACGACACACUGACCGGUGACGUGAACUCGCUCCAAACCCGACCCGGGAACAACCCUGAUGCAAUUAUUAUAAAGAACAGUAACGUUUUGUACAAGAGAGCGUCAUGUGACUACGUUCCUGCGGAGUGUUUCUACCUUAAAAUUUUUAUAUAGGUGCACAUUAUAUGUAAUAUUGAGACGACCCUUGCAAGAAACUAUUUCCGCAAAUGUAAUAUAAACUAGAGUUGGAAAAGUGCAAUAUUGACGACACCCUACAGGACUACAGCAGAAUAAAUAUCAAACAGACAGACAGGUUGCACAACAAACACCGAACGAUAACUGACGAGGAAGAACCUUGGAGCUCUCUGUUUUACACUCAAUAUUAGUUAUUGGUGGAGGGAUAUUAUAAUAUUGUAAUUUUCAAGUUCAUUAAUUUAAAUACAUUAAAAGAUAAUUUGAAAUGCAUCAUUUUUAAGUUUUGGCAAAAUAAUUUUAAAUUCAUCGUUUUUCCUACAGAAUAAUGAGGAAAUAUAAUAAAAUGCUUUUCUAAACUAAGAUGUGACCACUUGCAGCUACAAGACUGUUCAAAGUAAAAUAAAUUUUUCUGAUAAAUAAUUUCACAAUUUCGACACGUUUUUGUGUUAAUUUUACAAAUAAUUAUAAAUGUAAUAACUACCUAUAUAAAAAUUAUCAAUGUUCAGGGAUAAGCUAAUCCACGGCAUACCCCCCGAUAUAUGCUUCUGUAGUUGAUUUAAAACUUUUACUGGAACGAUGUAAAACUUCAGUUGUACAGAGUCUUUCGAAGUGUUCUAUAUUUGUAGUAGUUGAGGAUGUGUUUUUUUUUAUAUUUGAGAACAAUUAGUAAAAAGUUCAUUAUCCUGACGACUUUAUUAAAAUCGAAAAAUCAUAUUGUCUUUAUUUAAUGAUUAAAUAAAAAGAGAUUUGUCAAAGUUAUUGAUAUUUA